AUAAAAGUAGCUUGAAAAGUGCAAGAGUAGAGAAACAGAGAGCAAAGUUAGAGGUCCAGAUCAGCGAGCUUGCAUCAAGUAACCUGCAGCUUGUUAUAGAAGAAACGUUAAGAAAAAAAUGUUGCGUACAACAUCUUCCAUUGUUACCUUGGUGAUUUUGGUUACUAUCGUAACCUUCCAGCCUUCGGAGAGUUUUGGUCGAGGACCGUUUCGGAGCUUGGCACUUGUAAAAAAACUUGCUUCCAGCUCACCUUAUAACAAUGGUCUUCAACUGAUGUCAUCAGAUCCUUUGUACAGUUUCGAUCACACUCCUCCUUUUGAAUGGAGAGUAGCACGCAACCCAUUCCAUGACUCUCUGAACUACCUGGCUUACCUGGUGAAGAAGAAGGCAACAGAGAUCGAAGACGAGAACCAGGAAACCGAACAAGAACCUAAAAGUGACGGAAACCGCAAGUUUCAGACCCAAGGCUGGAGACGGUAGACGAACCAAGUGGAUCCAUUUUUUUUUCGUUCAAAAGUACUCUCUAAAAACUUAUGGGCAAUUCUUUCCCAACUCUGGAGCAAAAGUAAAUCUUCAAAAUAAUGGAUAAAAUCAUUAUUUUUUAUAAUUCUGUAAUAACUGUACAUUACUCUCUUUUUUUUCUAAACGAAUUCGUAACACAAAUAUCAAAUGUAAUAGCUUUUUCUUUUUCUUUUUUUUCUGCUUAAUAUUUCAUAAGUUCGUAUUUGAACUAAUGUUGGGUAAAAAUUGCCCAGAUUUUGUUGUGGGAUAUUGGUAACGUCAAUGAAUUUUAUAAAUAACAUGUAGUUCUCAAAUAUAGUAUUGCAAAUUAAUUCGGUACGUGAAUUGAUAAUAAACUAAAUUAAGCUUCUAAAUGCAGAAGAGAUAUUAAAAUAUGCUUCCUGUUACUGUAUUUUUCAUUUGGAAAAUGUUUCCUUCCAAUAAAGUUUGAUGUUUAUGCUCAAAUGA